CAGUCGCCGCGGGAAUACGAAGGGGGCUAGCGUUGCUCGGAAUGACUGGGCGUAAAGGGCGCGUAGGCGGAUUGUUUAGUUAGGCGUGAAAUUCCUGGGCUUAACCUGGGGACUGCGCUUAAUACAGGCAGUCUAGAGUGAGGAAGAGGGUUGUGGAAUUCCCAGUGUAGAGGUGAAAUUCGUAGAUAUUGGGAAGAACACCGGUGCCGAAGGCGGCAACCUGGUCCAUGACUGACGCUGAGGCGCGAAAGCGUGGGGAGCAAACAGGAUUAGAUACCCCCGUAGUCCCUGUCUCUUAUAC
rnacentral:rRNA from 1 species